CGUAGCAGAGCUUGUGCAAAGCAAUUCAUUUACAUUGAGUAGAACUUUAAUUUUGUGCUAUGA
rnacentral:tRNA from 1 species